GUUUGGGUCCACCUGCUCCACUCACCAUCUUGACAAGAAAAAGACAAAAAGAUGAAGACAGAUGGAUUGAAUAUUUGAAGGAUAUCAGACCAAAAAAAGUCAUUGUGGUGAAAGGGAGCGGUCAUAUUAAUAAAGGCAAGGCAUGAUGGGUGAAGGAUGUGAAGUCUCCUCAAUCAGAAUACAAAUUUACAAGGAGGGAGAUGAGAAAAUCUGUCAUAUCUCAUAUCUGUCUGUUAAAUAUGGAGCUGGAGUUGGGUCAUUUUAGCCUAACUUUUUGUUUUUUGAUUUUGUUCUUAUCACCAUGUGUAUGUUAGUGAAUCAGAAUCUUUGCAAUCUGCAUACUGCCAGGCCCCCAUUUCUCUAUAUAAGGAGAUACAGA